UUUCCGUAGGUGAACCUGCGGAAGGAUCAUUAAUGAGGGCGUGUGGGCUAAUAUCCCCGCGAACCUUAAUCCUUUGUUUACUACCCCGUGGUUUUUUCUUGGGCCCGGUAUGGAUUUUUUUAUUUUUAAAAAAGUCUUUGUGAUGUCGCCUAGAAUGGUUGCCACAGCGCCCCCCAAAAAAACAAAACCAGAUCAAAAAAAAUUCUAAUACAUUAUUGAUGUCUGAAGCAAAAUUUAAAACAAGCAAAACUUUCAACAACGGAUCUCUUGGUUCCGGCAUCGAUGAAGAACGCAGCGAAAUGCGAUAAGUAAUGUGGACCGCAGUACUCAGCGACUCAUCGAAUCUUUGAACGCACAUUGCGCCCCUUGGUAUCACCAAAGGGCACACCUGUCCGAGCGUCAUCAUACAUCGUAUCAGGCCGAGGGCCCGGCUUGCAUUGGGCUUUGUCUACUUUAUGUAGAAGUCUAAAAGUUAGUGGCGGUUAAGUUAGGCAUUCCAGCGUAGUAGUUAUAUUAGCUGUUGAAAUGUCUUUCACUUAAUAGUCAACACCUCCAUGGUUUCUGCUGGCAGAGACCUGGUUGGAUUUUAUCAAUUAUUGACCUCGGAUCAGGUGAGGAUACCCGCUGAAUUUAA
rnacentral:misc_RNA from 1 species